rnacentral:lncRNA from 1 species
UAGUUUUACUUAUAAAUGUUAAAAUAUUGUGGUAUUUAAUAUAUUAUUUAUUUGACAUUUAAAUUUAAUAAGGAUACAAAUGUAAAAGUACAUAUUUUCAACUUUUUUAGUUGAAAAAAAUAAACAAUUUAAUACUUAUUUUUCGAGAUUCAGACAAAAUAAUAAACAUAUUAUUCAGAUUCAGACAUUCAGAUCUAUUCAGAAUUUAGACUAAUUCAGGUCUAUUCAGAUUUCAGACAAAAAAACAAACGCCACCUAAGUCUCAAACCAUGUAUCUAUCCGCGUUUAGGAAAAAUAAAAAUAAAAUAUUGAGGGGACACCCAAGUUCAGGUCAAUAUGGGACAAUUCAGAGCCAGCAAAAUCAAGGCAGACAGAAAAAAAAAAAAAAACAUUUGACCAAGUUUACAAAAUGGACUUUCUGAACCAAUUAAAUUCCUUUUUCAUUUUUCUUUUCUUGGCUACUCGAAGGAAGUUUUCCUUCUCCAGCAAAACUAUAAAAUAUUUGUUUGAUGAGGAAGAGGAGAACAUCGAAUCCAUCAAUGGUGCCAACCGAUUAAUUCUGUAGAUAUUGUAUUAAAAAGAGUGGAAUUAAUUAAUUAGCAUCCGGUUUCAAUCAUGUCCUGCGUAAUUUUAGGGGAUUGAAUUUGAAGAUUGAAAUCCAGAUGCAUCACGAUUUGUGUCUUGAAUUGUCAUCAUGCAUGGCAUGCCUUGCAUUAUGCAUGCAUGCAAAGGGCAAUGGGGGAAAAAACAUUCUUAUUUGAAUAAUAUUGGCAUGUGAAAUUCCUUAUCUUAUAAACACGGCAAAGUGUAUACAAUUAUCGUGAAAUUAAAUCACAGAGAAAGAACAAUGAUGGCAUUAUUUUAUUUAUAUGUUGGCAUACUCGACACACACUCAUAUCUCAAUGUGUCCUGCUGACAAGGCCGACACAUGAUCAAUGUUGCAGAAAGUUCUAGCAGAUAAGAAUAAAUGCGCCAAAAAUUUAACAUAGGCUUUAUUUCAUGUGCCAUGUUUAAUUUGUGUAUAAUUAAUAGUGUAUUGAUGAGUUGAAGUUUAGUUAUUACAUAAUGCAUUUUUAUCUAGUGAUAGUAGUUAAAUUGCCGCAAACGUUAUUUAUAUCCGUUCUUUACUGUGAAUACAUUUCGCGUCCGCAAUCCCUUAAGUUUGAAUAAUAAUAAAAGGAGGUGAGCGAAAUUUCUCAUCUCAAUUUAAACUUUUUAAUUUUAAUUAAAAAAAAGGGAUGAUUUAGAAUUUAUAUAAAUAUCAACUUAAAAAUUAUAUUGGUGGGUCACAAGACCGAUUUUACUUAAACUAAAAUUUCUUUUCUACUCAAAUUUUAUAUGUAUGAAAUCACGCAACCUCUUAUUGGAUUAUCAAAGUGAUUCCACAAAUCAUCAAUAAUAAAAGAAGAAAUAUUAAUUUCAUGAUUGGUAGCCAAGAAUAAUUUCUCAUUUUCAUUUCAUUUUCUAGCCAUACGAACUAACCAAAAUUUUGUAAAUUCCAUUUCUCUUCAGCACCUUUAGGUUAGAUAUGACGCCAAUUUUGUUUUGGCAUGCAAAAGGCUUCCACUACAAUUUGCAUAUUGCCCACUAAUGUCAAAUCUAUAGUAGCAUUCUUUGAGAAAAAGCCACGUUAUUAUUGAUAGUCAUUGUGGGAACAUUCAAUCCAUGUCAACGUUGCAUCAACUUAACUUUGUUUUCUAUAAUUUUAGUGCAGGAAUCAACUUUACAUGAUGCACCAUGAACACCGCAUUUAUAUUUGCUGAGUCAAUGAUCAAUGCUUCAACAAAACGACCAGUCAACCACACCAAGGAACCUUUCAUUGAGCAUGCAUUGGUUGACAAUGGUCAAUACGUGUGCUGCACUCACAAACAAAAGAUUAGCUAUUAUGAUAAGAUUAGACUACCAAAUAAAAACAACUUGGGAAUCUCUCCAAAUGGGGAAAUCAUUGAAGACAACUGGUCACUAAAGGAAGAAGAGUUUCGUAAGUUUUAAAAUUUAAACAUGUCCACAUUUCCUCUGACCUGAUAAGGCUAAGCAGGGGCUUCACUCUUUCUGUGCCAAUUUGUUUUUUUUUUGAAGUAUAUGUAUACUCUAAGGUCUUUUUAAAACAGUCAAAUAAAAAAAUUUGACCAAGUGUUUAUAGUUUAAUGGUAAGGAACUCUCUUUAGGUGUGCACACACAUCUUCCUACUGAUAGAAACUCGACAUACGUCCAAUUAUGGUGCGCGAUGGCGCACAUAAAAUUAGGCCUCUAGUGGUGAGAGUAUUAUUUAAUAAUUUUGGAAACUUAGUUCGAAUCAAAAUAGCUACAUGAUUUUCUUUUUUUAAGAUAUUCGUGUAGAUUACCCAAAAAAAAGAUUAUAUUUUACAAACUACAUUAAAAAAAAAAAGGCCACAAUGAGCCCAAUAUUUAAAAUAAAUAAUUUAUUAUUUUUUCUAAAAUUUUAAAUAAAAGAAUAGAGUUUGAGUUUUUCAUACUUCAAAUAUGCUCAAGUAAACAGUAAAAAAGUUAAGCUACCCAAAUUAAAUAAUUUUUUUUAAAUUAAACCCCCCCUAAUUUACGUGUAUGUAUCUGCCACUACCUUUCAAUAUAUCAUAAACCAAACCCAAAAAGAAUAAGUUAUUGAUACACAUGAGUAAAGACUAUAGACAAAGAUUAGUUUAAUAACGAUAAGUGAUAAGACAUUGUUGGGAAAAUUAGCAGGUGUAAUAAACACACAAUUAAAGUAAAAUUGAGAAAUAAUGAUCACAUAAGGACAUUAAAAUUUACAUGGUUCGACUUUUAACCUAUAUCCACGGACAAAAACAGAAGGAAAUAUUUUACUAGUGAAAAGAAGUUACAAGUAUUGUAGUGUUUUGUCUCACAACUCAAAACCCCAAUACACUCAAACUCUAAAAAACACUAGAACUAGAGCUAAAAGCUCUCAACACUCUCAACUUACACCUCUUUACUCUCUCACUCGAAUUGAAGAAAAUGGGAUGGAUGAAGAGGGCAAUUAAAACCUCUAUUUAUAGGCCAAGUAAUGCCCAAAAAUCAAUAAUGGUGAGCAUUAAAAUAAUAUAUAUUUUUACUCAACUUUCUACUUUGGUCCCAAAGUCAAACAUUGUGUGUCUCCCACUUACUUAUAUCUCUCACUUAUUCAACAAAUUUAUGCUAAGAGUCAAACACUUAUUCAACAAAUUUAUGCCAAGAAUCAAAAGUUGCAUGCUAGCCACAUGCAUGCACAUGUUCAACAAACAUGCCAUGAUUGAGCUUAUUUGAAUAUUUGGGUUUUAAUAUAUAUAAAUAAAACAUGCAGUAACCCAAAACUCAAACGACACAUUUUUUUUUAGAAGUUUGAAAAUGCUUUUUUUUUAGUUAUCAUUUUUGGAAGUUCCUAAAAAUGUAUAAUUCAAUUAGUGUUUCCCCAUAAUUUAGGGGUUCAUUAUUAUUUUUAGGUUAGUAUUUUUUAAAAUAAACGAUGUCUUGUAUUUUCUAUAUUUUGAAUAAAAGUAUGUGCUUGGUAUUAUUUUCUAUCUAUUGUAUUUUAAAAUUGAAAACAGUAAUAUGUGUUCGGUACGGUAGACAUAAUUUAGAAGGACCAAAACAAUAGAUAUGUGUUUGGUAGUACUAUUUUUAAAAAUAGCUUUUACUAAAUAUUGUCAUACUUAUUGUUACAAAAUAGGGCACAUUUCGAUAUUCUUUUCAUUUGACAUUUUUAUUAUACAAAAAUGAGAAUGAAAAUAAUAUUUUAA